ensembl:lncRNA novel transcript
UCAUGCAAAGAGAGCCUGACGAGGCAGAGGAAAGAUCAUGGCAGGACUUCUGUCUUGGUGGACAGAUGUAGGAUGUGGAUACCAAAGAAUUGAGUAGAUCUGUCACAAAGCAAUGGAAGAUGACAUUUGAUAUGGGUGGGCCAACUGCGAAUAAAAAGAAGACGUUCACUUGGGAGAUAGAAAAGAGAAGUUCUAGUCAUGACUUUUCCAAUUUACUUGCUAUAUAACCUUGAAUAAGUACCCUCUCUGAAUUCCUGUCUCCUUACCUGUGGAAUGAAGACAAAAAUUCCUAAGGCUCUAGCAAGAUUGUCAAACAAAGGCCUAUAUGUGUGAGUUGCAAAUAAAAGGAAAGCACCUUCUGAUAA